rnacentral:snoRNA from 1 species
AUGCUUGUGUUGCACAACAGAGGCAAGAAAAAGUCCUUGUUCUUUCUGCCCGUUUGAUUGUGGCAGCCCAGACUGAAUGGGGGAAUCUGUCU